rnacentral:rRNA from 1 species
UCCUACGGGAGGCAGCAGUGGGGAAUAUUGCACAAUGGGGGAAACCCUGAUGCAGCCAUGCCGCGUGUGUGAAGAAGGCCUUCGGGUUGUAAAGCACUUUCAGUGGUGAGGAAAAGUUAGUAGUUAAUACCUGCUAGCCGUGACGUUAACCACAGAAGAAGCACCGGCUAACUCCGUGCCAGCAGCCGCGGUAACACGGAGGGUGCGAGCGUUAAUCGGAAUUACUGGGCGUAAAGCGCACGCAGGCGGUUUGUUAAGCUAGAUGUGAAAGCCCCGCGCUUAACGUGGGAUGGUCAUUUAGAACUGGCAGACUAGAGUCUUGGAGAGGGGAGUGGAAUUUCUGGUGUAGCGGUGAAAUGCGUAGAGAUCAGAAGGAACAUCAAUGGCGAAGGCAGCUCUCUGGCCAAAGACUGACGCUCAUGUGCGAAAGUGUGGGUAGCGAACAGGAUUAGAUACCCUGGUAGUCCACACCGUAAACGCUGUCUACUAGCUGUAUGUGUAUUUAAUACGUGUGUAGCGAAGCUAACGCGCUAAGU